rnacentral:rRNA from 1 species
UUACUGGGCGUAAAGCGCAUGCAGGUGGUUUGUUAAGUCAGAAUGUGAAAGCCCGGGGCUCAACCUCGGAAUAGCAUUUGAAACUGGCAGACUAGAGUACUGUAGAGGGGGGUAGAAUUUCAGGUGUAGCGGUGAAAUGCGUAGAGAUCUGAAGGAAUACCGGUGGCGAAGGCGGCCCCCCUGGACAGAUACUGACACUCAGAUGCGAAAGCGUGGGGGAGCAAACAGGAUUAGAUACCCUGGUAGUCCACGCCGUAAACGAUGUCUACUUGGAGGUUGUGGCCUUGAGCCGUGGCUUUCGGAGCUAACGCGUUAAGUAGACCGCCUGGGGAGUACGGUCGCAAGAUUAAAACUCAAAUGAAUUGACGGGGGCCCGCACAAGCGGUGGAGCAUGUGGUUUAAUUCGAUGCAACGCGAAGAACCUUACCUACUCUUGACAUCCAGAGAACUUUCCAGAGAUGGAUUGGUGCCUUCGGGAACUCUGAGACAGGUGCUGCAUGGCUGUCGUCAGCUCGUGUUGUGAAAUGUUGGGUUAAGUCCCGCAACGAGCGCAACCCUUAUCCUUGUUUGCCAGCGAGUAAUGUCGGGAACUCCAGGGAGACUGCCGGUGAUAAACCGGAGGAAGGUGGGGACGACGUCAAGUCAUCAUGGCCCUUACGAGUAGGGCUACACACGUGCUACAAUGGCGCAUACAGAGGGCAGCAAGCUAGCGAUAGUGAGCGAAUCCCAAAAAGUGCGUCGUAGUCCGGAUUGGAGUCUGCAACUCGACUCCAUGAAGUCGGAAUCGCUAGUAAUCGUGGAUCAGAAUGCCACGGUGAAUACGUUCCCGGGCCUUGUACACACCGCCCGUCACACCAUGGGAGUGGGCUGCAAAAGAAAGUAGGUAGUUUAACCUUCGGGAGGACGCUUUACCACUUUUGUGGUUCAUGACUGGGGGUGAAGU